UACGUAGGUGGCAAGCGUUGUCCGGAUUUACUGGGCGUAAAGGGAGCGUAGGCGGAUACUUAAGUGGGAUGUGAAAUACCUUGGCUUAACUUGGGUGCUGCAUUCCAAACUGGGUGUCUAGAGUGUUGGAGAGGAAAGUGGAAUUCCUAGUGUAGCGGUGAAAUGCGUAGAGAUUAGGAAGAACACCAGUGGCGAAGGCGACUUUCUGGACAAUAACUGACGCUGAGGCUCGAAAGCGUGGGGAGCAAACAGGAUUAGAUACCCUGGUAGUCCACGCCGUAAACGAUGGGUACUAGGUGUAGGAGGUAUCGACUCCUCAUGUGCCGCCGUUAACACAAUAAGUACCCCGCCUGGGGAGUACGGUCGCAAGAUUAAA
rnacentral:rRNA from 1 species